ACACAGGGGUUGUCUGCCCUGUUCCUACCAGAUUGAGUACAUCUUUACUACACACAUAAUCAGGAGUUGUCUGAUUGGAUAACGACUGACGACAGGACUAAUUGGAUAACCACUGACAACGGGACUGAUUGGAUAACCACUGACGACGGGACUGAUUGGAUAACCACUGACGACGGGACUGAUUGGAUAACGACUGACGACGGGACUGAUUGGAUAACGACGUACUGACGACGGGACUGAUUGGAUAACGACGUACUGACGACGGGACUGAUUGGAUAACCACUGACAACGGGACUGAUUGGAUAACCACUGACGACGGGACUGAUUGGAUAACCACUGACGACGGGACUGAUUGGAUAACCACUGAUGACGGGACUGAUUGGAUAACCACUGACGAAGGGACUGAUUGGAUAACCACUGACGACGGGACUGAUUGGAUAACCACUGACGACGGGACUGAUUGGAUAACCACUGACGACGGGACUGAUUGGAUAACCACUGACAACGGGACUGAUUGGAUAACCACUGACGACGGGACUGAUUGGAUAACGACUGACAACGGGACUGAUUGGAUAAAGACUGACGAAGGAACUGAUUGGAUAACAACUGACGACGGGACUGAUUGGAUAACAUCCUAAACAGUCAUCAAUGUAAUUAAGGAUAAUUCAAGGCUUUAACCUACAUAAUUAUUAAAUUGUCCAGAAAAAUGUUAACCUUCUCCAAGAUCAACAAGCGAGAUAGUUCACUAUACAUGAAAUUUAUGUUGUGCUGAUCUAGCUUAAAAGUUUUGAUGUGGCAACCAUUUAUAUAAUACUAAUUUUUCAGUUUUCUUAAAUCAGUGACAAAAUCAAAAAAGAAAAAGGAUAAAGAAAUAUUUCUGUUAUAACUCCCAGUAGAAAUUUUACCUUAGUAUUUGUUUAGAGUUCAGAAGUCCCGAGUUCAAACCCUGGUCUAGCUGAUUUGUAUUUUUCCUCUCUUGUUAUAUUGGACACCUAAAGAAAUACAUCACAGGGUGGCCACACGGGCCUUGUGUGUCUUCAUUGUCAAAGACUUUGUUGUAGGAUGGAGAAAUAUGGUGGAUCUGCAUGGGUUGGUUUAAAUGUCCAGCCAGCUCAAUCUUUGUCGAGGUCUUAUCUGUGAGUGGAGGCGUCACGUUCUUUCUGUCCAUUAUUUUUGUACAAGGAAUAUCAAAAGGUGUCCCUGUAGUUUUACAUCUAUAUGAUCUUGGUCCGUCUGACGAGUCCUUUGAGGAGAAUAUGUGUCUUGUGAGUUUUGUGACAGAAUCUAAUGGCAUAUUACCAAUUGUUUACCAUGUUGUUUGUAUGAAAAUAAUGAGAGUGCUAUAUCAUUGUUCUUCCUGUUGUUUAAGUUAUUUGUCGGUGCAUCACAUAUUUUUUUAUCAAUAAUAUUUUUAACUAUGCAUUUACUAUUUCAUUUUAUACAUAGUAUUUUUACAUACCAUAAUAAAAAAAUGUUAUGAAAAGGUAUUUCAUUGAAAUCGUAAUAUCUUCAUAAAUGUUUUAUGUAUUUGCUGUUAUCUAUGCAAAACCCUACAGAAAAAAUCUCAAUGUAUAUAAAUGACUAUACGGGGUGUAAAACAAUACAAAUCUAUGUGAGUGUGUUCAUUAUGUCACUGAAGAUCAGGAAUGUCACAUGUAUUGUAUGAGUUAAUGAAGUCCAUAUGAGCCACCAGUGUAAGAUUCUGUUGAUCAUAUAUACUAAUAUGUAACACAAAGUGACAAUGUACGUGUGUAUACCAUACGUAACACAAAGUGACAAUGUACGCGUAUACCGUACCUAACACAAAGUGACAAAGUACGUGUGUAUACCGUACCUAACACAAAGUGACAAUGUACGCGUAUACCGUACCUAACACAAAGUGACAAUGUACGUGUGUAUACUGUACGUAACACAAAGUGACAAUGUACGUAUGUAUACCGUACGUAACACAAAGUGACAAUGUACAUGCAUAUACAAUACCUAACACAGUGACCCCGAUCAUUUUUGUAUUGCAAAUAUGAUAUUACAAAAUUGUGAUUUCGUUAUAGAAAUUUUAUAUUGAAGGUCAUUUAAACCAAAGAUUUUUUAAUAUGAAAUCUAGUCACUUUUUAUUGUUUCUGAAUAUUUUUGUACAUGUUUAUGUAAUGAUGUAAAUAGUUUUAACUUAUUUAAACACAAAUUUGUUUACAAGUCAAUAUACAAAGCAAAACCAGCUCAAAUCGAAAUGUGUUAAUACUUGUUCCACCUCUUGUCCUUCAGGCCUAGCUAUUUACCUCUAUGUAACAGGUGUACAGUUAAGUCAUACCUGCUCCUUAAACUCUUAAAAACAUCCUCUGGUCAAAGUAAUGAUUUUAAUAAGCAGUGUUUCAUAAGUUGAGUUUAUUCAGAUGUGUUAAAAACUGGCAAUUCUAACUCAGCUAGAUUCUCCAGUCCCUGGUGGAGUUAAAUACCAUAAAUACCUGUGUAAUUUACACACUUUUUUGGCUUAAAAUUGCUGUUGUAGUGAGUGUUGCAUAGAUUAAAUUGUACAUCAAUUUUAAGGUGAUUUUUAGAGUGUGUAAAUUAUAAUGGAGCGUAAAGUAUAAGGAUUUUUACGACAACCAGACACCUUGUGUCAAACAUUUUGAUUGAAUAACCACUACCAUGUGAUACUGUCCGUAAAUUUUCAAUUUACAUCCAAAACCCAGAUUUUUGUUAUAUCAAUAAUCCCCGACACAUCAUGAAUAUAAUUUGUUUAGCACACAAAUCUAACAUGUGGUUACCAGUUUGAUUUGAGCAGGUUUUAAUAUUAAUCUUUAUACUACAAUUAUCAGCCCUAUUGUGUUCAAUAAAUCUAUCAAUUUCAAUUUUAUUCCUUUGUCAAAACUUUAGCUAAAAUUUACAAGUAGACAUACAUGAGAAAAUAUGAAUAAAUGUUCAUGGUUAUUUGUAUCAUUUUGCUUGUAAACACCUUCAUUAAAACAUUUUCCUUAAUGUCAGUAUAUACAGGUUCCAAUUUGUGGUGGUGAAAUGUUUACAUGUACAUGUAUAUGUUUAUUAUAUACAUUAAUCAAAUGAUUUGUAGAAAGGCCAUAUACAUUUAGGUGUCCAAAAUACACGACAUUUGAACCAACAAAUGGAUUCAUAUGUACAUUUUAACUAAAUUCAUUCAUACAGAAUGUAGUCCAUAGGACCCCUCAUCUCUCUUCAGAACUUGGCUUCUGUUUUGUGUAUAGUUUUCCACAAGUUAUUGUCAGAUUUGCCCCCUUAUACCUUCUUAACACCUAGUGUAACAUUUGUAUUUGAAGAGUAUUGCUCAAUUUUAUCAAUUAUAAUACAAACCUGAUCACGGUGACAGGUAAACAUUGUACUGGUCAAAAUAUUUCACUGUGUUCUGUACAAAUGUCAGGACUAUCAAGGUAAUGCAAAUGUUGGAAAAACUUCUUUAAACUGCAAUCUUUAAUGACAUGUAUUGAAACCUGGUUUUUAGGUCACCAUAGCUGAAGGCUCAUGGGGGCCUAUUGCAAUGGCCUUUUGUCUGUUUAUCGUGUGUAAAUUGUCCCUUUUCCUUGUACACACAAUUACUUCAGUAAAUAUGAACAGAUUUUCAUGAAACUUGGUAUGCAACCUUGUAUUGAUAAGAUCUUUAAUGAGUUUAAACAAUUGGACCGAUUCAACUGUAAAGAGUUAUAGCCCUUUGUAGUUUUAUUGCCAUAGGAACUUGUGCACACAAUAACUUGGGUCAACAUGAACAAAUUUUCGUGGAAACUUUGUGUGCAGCCUUAAUUAUAUCAAUUAGAUCUCAGAUGAAUUUGACAAUCAGGCCAAUUCAACUGUAACUUAGAGUUAUGGCCCUUUGUAGUGUUAUUGCCAUUGCCAUUAAUAUUGGACCUUGUGUAUAUAAUUUUGAAUUAAUUUUAAAAUGGUUAUAAUCAGCAGGUUUGGAUUAAAGUUUGACGGUAUGCACCUGUUGGCCUGAAUGACCUCAAGAGGCCAAUGGGCAGGGCCAAAAACGGUCAAAUUCAUUAAAAUAUUUCAGAACUCAGGUGAUUGUUAAGGCCCAUGUGCCUCUUGUUUAAAAAAAGAUAUAGAUUGUUUUCAAAAAUCUCCGAUUAAUGUGAAUGUAAUUUAUCUGUUAGAUUGUCUAUGUAGACAGUCAUGUUCUGUUUAUGUGUAUGAAGGUAGCUGUAGAACAUAUCAAUAAAUGUUGAUUUAUGGUAAA